rnacentral:misc_RNA from 1 species
GGGAAAUGUUAGUGAGUCCGGAUUUGGGUUCUAGUGCGGUCCAUUUUGGAGCAGGGAAGUGUAGCGAGUGGGUUUUGGGGAAGAAAGCGGCGUAAAGGACGAGCGAGAUUGAGGAGGCGAGGCAGAAGAGGAUGAAAAUUCUCGCGAGAAUCGCGAAGAUCUCGCACGGUUUAUCGGGAAGAGGGAUUGAUUUUAGCUUUUUGACCGGAUUGUGACUCGUUUGCAAACGAGUCAAACUCAUUUCCAUAUUGUGUUGAAAAAAAGGAGCUGCCGUGGAGUUCUUAAUUAAUAAAACAGCCUCUGAUCACCAGAUAACUUUUCAUAUACACCCUGAUCGGAAAAAUUUUGUAGAACAC